GUGCUUGCUUUGGCAGCACAUACACUAGAAUUGGAAUAAUACAGAGAAGAUGAGCAUGGCCCCGGCACAAGGAUGACACGCAAAUUCAUGAAGCGUUCCAUAUUUUU
ensembl:snRNA U6 U6 spliceosomal RNA